rnacentral:rRNA from 1 species
AACGAACGCUGGCGGCAUGCCUAACACAUGCAAGUCGAACGAGACCUUCGGGUCUAGUGGCGCACGGGUGCGUAACACGUGGGAAUUUGCCUCGGGGUAUGGAAUAACUCAGGGAAACUUGAGCUAAUACCAUAUAAUGUCUUCGGACCAAAGAUUUAUCGCCCUGAGAUAAGCCCGCGUAGGAUUAGCUAGUUGGUGGGGUAAAGGCUCACCAAGGCGACGAUCCUUAGCUGGUCUGAGAGGAUGAUCAGCACACUGGGACUGAGACACGGCCCCAGACUCCUACGGGAGGCAGCAGUGGGGAAUAUUUGGACAAUGGGCGAAGCCUGAUCCAGCAAUAGCCGCGUGAGUGAUGAAGG